ensembl:lncRNA
CUUUUGCACUGAUGUCCCUCUGAUGUGUCAGGUGGAGAACUAUCCUUAAAUGUUGUCUUUACUGUCUACCACAGGACUCUGGAUCUGGGAGGAAAGAUAAAGCAGAGAGAUAUCCAGGAAGCAAACAAGUUUGAAGGCACAAAUGAAACAGGAGACAGAAACGCUUGAACGUGGCACUGAAAGACGGCAACGCCUUUUGUCGAUAGUGUCACUCAGUCUUAGACUUGAAGUACUAUGCUAUUUCUUCCAGCCACACAGCAAUCUGCAGAAUAAGGGCAUAACCCCUCAUCUACCUUCAUCACCUUAGCCCACAUUUUGUAAGAUGGAUGUAAACACACAGGAGCCUAAAGCACUGCAAAAGCUGGAUCUUAAUCACAGGGAUCUAAAAACAUCCAACUGAGCAAGACCACAGGCUGUACCAGUAACAUACUUGGGUCCUGCCCCCCCAAGACUACACCAAGCAUGGCUGCAGGCAGAGGGGAGCACAUACAAACACUGCGCUCAUUCCACUGAAUCCUUCUGUAAUUCUCAGGAGCUGCUGACCUGUUUCGAGGCAGAGGUCAGAGGAAGCAUGAUUGUUAUUAAAAGGGUG